UGAGGAAUAUUGGUCAAUGGGCGGAAGCCUGAACCAGCCAAGUCGCGUGAGGGAAGACGGUCCUAUGGAUUGUAAACCUCUUUUGCCGGGGAGCAAAGCCGGGUUCGUGAACCCGGAAGGAGAGUACCCGGAGAAAAAGCAUCGGCUAACUCCGUGCCAGCAGCCGCGGUAAUACGGAGGAUGCGAGCGUUAUCCGGAUUUAUUGGGUUUAAAGGGUGCGUAGGCGGAACAGUAAGUCAGCGGUAAAAUGGCGGGGCUCAACCCCGUCCGGCCGUUGAAACUGCCGUUCUUGAGUGGGCGAGAAGUAUGCGGAAUGCGUGGUGUAGCGGUGAAAUGCAUAGAUAUCACGCAGAACUCCGAUUGCGAAGGCAGCAUACCGGCGCCCAACUGACGCUGAGGCACGAAAGCGUGGGUAUCGAACAGG
rnacentral:rRNA from 1 species